GAGGGGGGGGCAGGUCUUGACAUCCUCUGACAAUCCUAGAGAUAGGACUUUCCCCUUCGGGGGACAGAGUGACAGGUGGUGCAUGGUUGUCGUCAGCUCGUGUCGUGAGAUGUUGGGUUAAGUCCCGCAACGAGCGCAACCCUUGAUCUUAGUUGCCAGCAUUCAGUUGGGCACUCUAAGGUGACUGCCGGUGACAAACCGGAGGAAGGUGGGGAUGACGUCAAAUCAUCAUGCCCCUUAUGACCUGGGCUACACACGUGCUACAAUGGAUGGUACAAAGGGCUGCAAGACCGCGAGGUUUAGCCAAUCCCAUAAAACCAUUCUCAGUUCGGAUUGUAGGCUGCAACUCGCCUACAUGAAGCCGGAAUCGCUAGUAAUCGCGGAUCAGCAUGCCGCGGUGAAUACGUUCCCGGGCCUUGUACACACCGCCCGUCACACCACGAGAGUUUGUAACACCCGAAGUCGGUGGG
rnacentral:rRNA from 2 species